rnacentral:lncRNA from 1 species
CCCGGUAUAAUACUACCCGCCUUAUUUGAAAUAAAUCACAAUUCUUACACUCUGUGUUUGCUUCUUACACAUCCUACAUCCACUUUUGUAAAAUCUGUUCUCCUGAGUGUAGUGCCCCAAUUUAGUGGUGGUGCCAACUAGUACUACUGAAUGAUUACUAAUGAUACUAGAUAGAGAGAUAGGUUGUACUCCACAUCGCAAUCGUAGUAGUAUCUCUGCCCAUGUCAUCAUGGUUCUGUUCAGGAAUAUAAUGGUAAUAUCUGCCUUGUCUAAGGAUUCCAAUUUUUGCACACUAUUUGUUUGCUUAUACAUCAUAUAUAUACCGUCACUCUUACCAUUCUAGAUGCAAUCAAGAGUAAAAACCGACUACAACGUCUCACCCAGCCACUUGUUUGUUCAUGACACCAGAUCAGCAAGAGAGUGUUUGACGUGACCAGGAGCGACUUCGUAGACACGUCGAAGCUGGAUGGAUC